rnacentral:rRNA from 1 species
GUGAGGAAUUUUGCGCAAUGGGGGCAACCCUGACGCAGCGACGCCGCGUGGAGGACGAAGUCUUUCGGGAUGUAAACUCCUGUCAGUGGGGACGAUAAUUACGGUACCAACAGAGGAAGCACCGGCUAACUCCGUGCCAGCAGCCGCGGUAAGACGGAGGGUGCAAGCGUUGUUCGGAAUUACUGGGCGUAAAGCGUAUGUAGGCGGCAAGUUAAGUUCAAUGUUAAAGCCCACGGCUCAACCGAGGAGAUGCAUUGAAUACUGGCUAGCUAGAGGGUGUUAGAGGAAGACGGAAUUCCCAGUGUAGCGGUGAAAUGCGUAGAGAUUGGGAGGAACAUCGGUAGCGAAAGCGGUCUUCUGGGACAUACCUGACGCUGAGGUACGAAAGCGUGGGGAGCAAACGGGAUUAGAUACCCGGGUAGUCC